rnacentral:rRNA from 1 species
UACGGGGGGGGCAAGCGUUGUUCGGAAUUACUGGGCGUAAAGGGUUCGUAGGUGGCCAACUAAGUCAGACGUGAAAUCCCUCAGCUUAACUGGGGAACUGCGUCUGAUACUGGUUGGCUUGAGUGCAGGAGAGGAACGCGGAAUUCCAGGUGUAGCGGUGAAAUGCGUAGAUAUCGGGAGGAACACCGGUGGCGAAGGCGGUUCUCUGGGCCUUACCUGACGCUGAGGAGCGAAAGCGUGGGGAGCGAACAGG